UACGUAGGUGACAAGCGUUAUCCGGAAUUAUUGGGCGUAAAGCGCCCGCAGGCGGCUGUUCAAGUCUGACGUGAAAUCGCUCGGCUUAACUGGGCGGGGUCGUUGGAAACUGAAUAGCUUGAGGCAAGGAGAGGGGCGUGGAAUUCCUGGUGUAGCGGUGAAAUGCGCAGAUAUCAGGAGGAACACCGGUGGCGAAGGCGGGUCUCUGGGCCGAUACUGACGCUGAGGAGCGAAAGCGUGGGGAGCGAACAGG
rnacentral:rRNA from 1 species